rnacentral:rRNA from 1 species
GGGCCCGCACAAGCGGUGGAGCAUGUGGUUUAAUUCGAUGAUACGCGAGGAACCUUACCAGGGCUUAAAUGUAGUAUGACCGGUCUGGAAACAGACCUUCCCUUCGGGGCAGAUUACAAGGUGCUGCAUGGUUGUCGUCAGCUCGUGCCGUGAGUGUUAGGUUAAGUCCUGCAACGAGCGCAACCCCUAUUCUUAGUUGCCAGCGGUUCGGCCGGGGACUCUAAGAAGACUGCCAGCGCAAGCUGAGAGGAAGGUGGGGGAUGACGUCAAAUCAUCACGGCCCUUACGUCCUGGGCUACACACGUGCUACAAUGGUACAGACAGAGGGCAGCCACCUGGCGACAGGGAG